CGGGCGGCCGUGACCCUGCUGGAGUGCGGGGGGGACCUCCAGCCCCCCGGGGGGUCCCUGCGCCUCCUCUGCCGAGGGGCCGGGUUCAGUUUUGGGAAUUUCGACAUGUUCUGGAUCCGCCAGAGACCCGGGCAAGGGCUGGAGUGGCUUGUAGGGAUCUACAGCAGUGGUUCCAGCACCACCUACGCGCCAUCGGUCAAGGGCCGGUUCACGAUCUCCAGGGGCAACGGGCAGAGCUCGGUGACGCUGACCAUGAACAGCCUCAAGGACGAGGAUUCCGCCACCUAUUUCUGCGCCAAAUCCUCUGGUGUUAGCACUGCUCUUACUGCUUUGGGUGGUUGGACCCUCCCCCAAACCCCCCUGACCCACCCCUGA